rnacentral:rRNA from 1 species
AUUGAACGCUGGCGGCAUGCUUUACACAUGCAAGUCGAACGGUAACAGGUCUUCGGAUGCUGACGAGUGGCGAACGGGUGAGUAAUGCAUCGGAACGUGCCCAGUCGUGGGGGAUAACGCAGCGAAAGCUGUGCUAAUACCGCAUACGAUCUAUGGAUGAAAGCGGGGGAUCGCAAGACCUCGCGCGAUUGGAGCGGCCGAUGUCAGAUUAGCUAGUUGGUGGGGUAAAGGCCCACCAAGGCGACGAUCUGUAGCUGGUCUGAGAGGACGACCAGCCACACUGGGACUGAGACACGGCCCAGACUCCUACGGGAGGCAGCAGUGGGGAAUUUUGGACAAUGGGCGCAAGCCUGAUCCAGCAAUGCCGCGUGCAGGAAGAAGGCCUUCGGGUUGUAAACUGCUUUUGUAUGGAACGAAAAGGUCUGGGUUAAUACCCUGGGCUCAUGACGGUACUGUAAGAAUAAGCACCGGCUAACUACGUG